AUAAUAAUUAGUCUUUUAAUUGAAGGCUAGUAUGAAGGAUUGAACGAGAUAUAUACUGUCUCAAUUUAAUUAAUAUUUUAAUUUAAUUUUUAAGUUAAAAAGCUUAAAUUUUAUUAAAGGACGAGAAGACCCUAUAGAGCUUGAUAAUUUUAAUUUAAUUUAAUUUAAUUUAAUUUUAUUAUUUUAUAAUUAUUUUGUUGGGGUGAUAGGAAAAUUUAAUAAACUUUUUUAAUUUAUUUACAUUGAUGAAUGAUUUUUUGAUCCUAAAAUUUAGAUUAUUAGAUUAAGUUACCUUAGGGAUAACAGCGU
rnacentral:rRNA from 1 species